rnacentral:lncRNA from 1 species
AAAAAAAAAGAAAAAUCAAUUACCAUCUUUUCUUCUCUCUUCACUCAAUUCACUAAAAUUCUAGACGAAGAGCCUUUCCUGUCGUCCUCCUCCGCCACCGUAGCCAACGAGAUAGAGUUUCGACGGUUGCUAAAUGCUUAAAUAAGUGUUGGUAAAUUAGCAGCACUCUUUUAGGUUAUAGCGACACUCUUUAACUGUCACUAUAUACCUAGCGACCCCACAUAUAGCAACACUUUUUAAAAGUGUCGGUAAUUUUAGCUAGCAGCACUUUUUUGACAUGUACCUACAUUUAAAAGUGUCGCUAUAGAUCGUUUUUGUUGUAGUGAAAUUCUAUAGACACCCCAAA